UAAUACAUCUUGAAAAGCAGAGUAACUAUUAUGAUUACUGAUAAAGAGAGCUGGGAUUUUGGUGAGACUCAGCCAGUUAGUAGUGGUGAACAUGGGCUCGAAAUGAUGACCGUUAGUGAUAUUUAGCUACCGGCGGAGUUGCAUCCGUUAGCAUUGCAAGCUAUUGAUUGAUAGCUAGUGAGAGAUUUAUUACGUGAGUAAUAAAUAAUUUAAAGGUGGUAACGCGAAGCACUCGUCCUUAUG
rnacentral:ncRNA from 1 species